CAAGAGCGACAGGGGCGUCCGCGACAGCGGGCUGAGAUGAACCCUUGGAACCUGAUCCGGAUCAUACCGGCGGAGGGAGUCACUCGGGUUCGCGA
rnacentral:ncRNA from 2 species